GAAAACUUACCAGGUCAAGACAUGGGCGUGAUUGACAGGCUAAUGACUUUUCUCGAUUCCAUGGAUGGUGGUGCAUGGUCGCACUUAGUUGGUGCAGUGAUUUGUCAGGUUUAUUCCGGUAACGAACGAGACCUCGGCCUUGUAAAUAGCUAUGCUGCUUACAGGGACAUUGGCGGCUACGCCAAGGAAGCUCGAGGCAAUUGCAGAUCUGGAAUGCCCUUAGAUGUCCUGGGUCGCACGCGUGCUACAAUGACGCCACGAACGAGCUUGCGUGAUGAAAGUUACGCAUAAUCAGCAGUCGGCGUCUUAAGGGAUAGUCUCUUGUAACUGUGGGACUCCAACUAGGAAUGUCUCGUAAGCACAAGUCAACAUCUUGUGUUGAUUACGUCCCUGCUCUUUGUACACACCGCCCGUCGCUCCUACCGAUCGAGUGUUUAGGUGAAUUUGAUGGACGUAAGGAAGUCAAAUAAACCUGAGCACUAGAGAAGAGAAGUCUACAG
rnacentral:rRNA from 1 species